GGGGGAUCAGGCAAGUCCCUCCCAAAAUCCUGAGGCACCUCCCACUACCUUCAGUCUCCCCAACAAGCGAGGGAGACGGUUGUCGUGGGAGUCAGCUUCAGAGUCUUCGGCGUCCGAGUCUGCCCUGCCCGAGACCAAACUCCCCCAACCCGCCUCUGACCCAGCUGUGGCCUCUGCACCGCGCCCAAGGAGGAAGAGGAAGAAGAAGGGGCCUGCCGGUCCUGUGACCCUGUCUCCUCCCGUGCCAGCAGCGGAGAGCGCUGGCGUGCCCGUGCCAGCAGCGGUGAGCGUGCCCGAGCCAGCAGCGGUGAGCGUGCCCGAGCCAGCAGCGGUGAGCGUGCCCGAGCCAGCAGCGGUGAGCGUGCCCGAGCCAGCAGCGGUGAGCGCUGGCGUGCCCGUGCCAGCAGCGAGAGCUGUAUGCAAGUCUGCAGUCGUGAGAGCGGAGGAGAGAGCCGCGGCCGACUCUGCAGCAAAGACUCUAGUACAGUCUGUCUCAUCUCGUAAGGAGAUGCCAGUUAUCCUAGCUGCUAAAGCCUUCUCAGAUUAUUUGUCUCGUCUUGUCCAGAUCCUAGAAGUCCCCGUCAGUCCUGUCUUGUCCCCUGACCCAGUCCCCAGAAAUCCCGAGUGUCCAGCCGUCGUCUCCCCGUGUCCCGUAGAUGUCGUCUCCCCGUGUCCCGUAGAUGUCGUCUCCCCGUGUCCCGUAGAUGUCGUCUCCCCGUGUCCCGUGA
ensembl:lncRNA